ACACUCUCAUUUGGAGUUAAUUUUUUUUUUCUCCCUCAAAUUUCUCUUUUUUCUAAUAAAAAAAAUUAGCAUAUAUAUAUAUAUAUUGGAAUCAGAUCCUAGAAAAAUUGAUUGGAAUCAGAUCGAAAGAGAGAGCCUUUUCUCUCGUUCUUUGCAUUAUUUUUCAUCGUUACGACCGGAUUUUCGCUGAUAGGUUGCGACGUGAUCAAAGGAGACCACUUUUCCUCACUCUUUGCAUUAGUUGUGGCCCAGUUUUGCAGAUUAGAAGACCUAGUUUUGGCCCAUCGUUGUCACUUGUCCGCCGGUCCAUUCCCUGAAGUGCGAUGGGCAUGUAGAACUGGAUCUUUUCGUGGACGCCUGUCAGCUGUUUGCAGAAAUUUCGAACAGAAAUAGGGUUUCUUUCGUUCACCUGAUUUCGGGCUCAUGCCGAGCCGCACAGAUUUUGUUUUUUGUUUCCAAAGCUUUAUAGAAAUGGGCAGCAUUUAUUAUUUUGAUCAGUCUUUGCUCGAUUCCUUAUGUUGAAGUACUUUAGUUCUUGCAGCUGUAGUAAAAGUUGAAUUAGUAAAUCAUAUGCAUGUGCUUCAUAGCAUAAUUUGAAUCUUUUUUGUUUGAAAAGUAAUGUAAUUUGUGCAUGCUUGCUCUGGAAUCAAUCAAAGCUCUUGGUAAGAUCGUAUGUUGAAUUCUUUCUCAUGACAUUUGUUGGUAGUGUCUGACUGCAAAUGAUACAAUAUAGAUUUUCACUGUGUUUAUUACUGGUCAAAAGAUCCUAAAUGGCAACUAAUAUAGUGUACACUUGAUCAACCCAAUAGAUGCAGAGCUGGUUGGCAUGACUGCCUCGGGAUAUCCAUCUCUCUCAGCUUCUCAAAGUCUCUACUCAGCUUUGAUGGACCUUGGAUGGCAUCUAGUUUAUCUUUCAUAUGAAGCUACCUGCUAGCAGCCUUUCACUAUUUCUCAUAGUCAAAAUCCUACACAAUUUCAGAAGAGGAGGAAUCAAAGGAAAAUGACACAUCUUUUGUCACAUUUCUUUUUUCUGAAUUUCUCAAAAUUACUAUAGUUUCUCUUUGGUAAAACACCUGAAGUCGUCUUUGUUAAGCUGUUCGAUAGACAUAGGAUCUUCAAUCAUUUUAUGCUAUAACUUCUGGUAUCCUGAUUCUGAUCUUGAUCCUGGUUUCGAGAUUAUCUUGCAAUUAGUUACUACUCUCGAGGUGCUUCUCUCUACUUAUCUCAUUUUGCUUUUCUUCCUAAAUAGAUGCUGAUUUUUUGUUCUUCUACUGUUGUAGCAAUUGAAGAAAAAAAAUGCAUUCCUUCCCGGAUUUAGCUACUCUAUUUUUCUUCAAUUUGUAUGACAUAUGUUGCAACAUUAGUUACUUAACCAGAGGCACAUGACUUUUUCUUUUUUGAUAAUAUUCUUUCACUUCUAGAUUUGCUUUAGUAGAAUCUAUCCCGGCAUUUUGGUACACCAGCAAAACUUGAAAUAAAAUUUGGCCAUAUUGUUGGCAUUUGACUGCAUUGCAAUUUACAAUACAUUCAAGUAAUCAUUCCUUUAGGCUACAACAAAUGAAGCCUCGUCUUUUUGCCCCUUAAAAUUUGUGUAUUGCCUUGUUACUCUUAGUUCGAUAAGCAUUUUAGAUUGACACAAGUACUAGUGUAGUCGAUAACUGAAGUAUAUCAAUUCAUCAUUUAGUCAAUAUGGUGGGGCAUUUUUUCUUCUCAAUCCCUCACAGUUCCUUCUUAACUCUAGAAUGGUGCCAUCAAGAGAAACACUGUCCGGUCAAGAUGUUGGCGGGGCCCUAGGUUCUGACAAUUUGCAGUUGUCAUGAUAAGGGUGUCAAGAACUAAUGUAGCUGCUAAAUCAAACAUUUCAAAAAUGUUAUUGUCCAUGCACAUGCAUUGCUUUUCUUAGCAGGCAGAGGCCACCAUGCUAGUCCUAUUUACAUGUUCUUUUCAUCUUCACAGAAGCCACCUUUCAAGCUUUGGACCAUACCCAAGAGUUCCAGAUCCUUCAACAUGAUACAUUGCAUUCAGUGCAUGCCAUCUGCAGGUCAACAGUUGCAGACAGUUGUUUCUGCCACCCUGUCCGGAAACAAUUUGGCAAAAUGGGCACACCAUUCUCAGAAAGCAAGCCAUUCAGAGAAUCCAGUCAUGAAGAAGUGAGGAGCAUGACUCAUCUGCAAGACACCUUGCUUCAUAGCCAUGAAACUCGUGCCAUCAGAGAAGUGCUUCAUGGCAUCUAUGAGCAGCUUGAUAUGUCUCAUAUGGAUACUUGCAGAAGUUGAUCACUCCUACCAAUGAUUGUGGGAGCGUUUAGAUGCUAUCCCACUCGAUGAAGAGAUCUCGAAAGGGAUGAGCAGAUUGCAAUGUGCAUGUCGAGAUCACUCCACAUAUCAUUAUUGGCAGAAUCUUUCUCCAAAUAGAUUGGACAAAGCUCAUCUUUGUCAAAGGUGAAGCAGGCUGUGGACAAGGCUUGACCUCUUGUGGGCAAGGGCGAAGCAUGGGGAGACUUAAAGCUUGUUAAAAGACAAAGGAGCAGCAGCCAUGUGGGAAUCAGUCACCCAUCCACCUCAAGGACAGCCCAUGCCUGCAUCAAGACGCCAUGCAAGCAUUUAUAUCCAUUGGCGGCUUCCCCCUCCCUCGCCACGCCCCCCACCAUGCAGCCGUGCCUCCAUCCCCUCCUCCUCCGCCGCCGCCGCCGCCGCCCAGCAGCCGCGGCCGUGAGCCCGCAGUGGCGCUCGAUCUUAUCACUUUGGCUUCCGGAGCUACAGGAGCCAUGGCAGGAAGCAGCACCUGAGACAACACUUUGUGCUUCGCUGCCAUGCGAUCCAUGUUUACGUUGUUGUUUUCUCUAUCAUAGCCCAAGUAAUAUGUUUCACCCUCGAUGACUCCAUGUACAGAUUAUUCACAAUGCAAUAGUAACUCUAUGGAAUGCACUGUU